UUGCCCGGUGUGUAUUUUUUACAAUGGAAACAUUUUACUUUAAUCUUUAAAAAAAAAAAAAUACUUUAAACACACACACACACACACAUACAAAAAACAGACUAGAGGGAAAAAAAGGUUUGGCCUUAUCACAGAAUUUUUACUGUGCUGUAUAAAUGUUUUCAAAUGCAAAAAGUGUGCAUUUCUAGUGUGUCUCCACAUUAACUAAUGCCGCCUUCAAGAGCAAUAUCACACAAGUAAAAUGCUGUUUGUGGCUUUCUGUUGCACAGUUAAAACUGACCCACCUUAUGCACAAGACAAUCAAAUAUAAAUCUGUCCUCCUCCGGAUGCAGAUAAUACUCAUGUAUAUUACAGAGCACAAUGUAAGACAAAAGAAGACACUUUACACGUGUGUUGUUGAUAUGGAAAUUAUCGGGGCAUAAAUGAGCUGAUGUGACAUUAGGCCACUUCUUUCUUUGGGUUCGCCAUUAUUAACUUGACAUCUUCAAUUUGAUCAUAGAGCCAAAUUAGUUCUCCAUGCUUUAUUCAGAGAAAAGACUUUUUUCCGUAAUGUGUCAUGCCCUGAGAAUCAGAAAAAUACUGCAGGAUAGAAAAAGAUUUACAGUCAUCUGAAGACUUAUGUUUUGCAAACAGUGUUAAGUGAUAUUGCUAGAUUGGUAAUAUUUUUUUCAGCGUAAAACUCUGUUGAAAUCUGUGAUCAAAAUGUUUUAAACUAUCCAAAAAGAAAAUUUGUAUAUUUGGGAAAAAUGGAUUUUUACAUAGCUUUUGUAUGCAGAUAUUAAAUUGUAAUUAUGAAUAUAGUGGGCGUAGAUAAACUCGUAAGCUUAAAUUCUAAAAAAGAAAAAAAGAAAAAGCUUAUAAUGAAUA